rnacentral:rRNA from 1 species
UUAAAUUGAAGAGUUUGAUCAUGGCUCAGAUUGAACGCUGGCGGCAGGCCUAACACAUGCAAGUCGAACGGUAACAGGAAGCAGCUUGCUGCUUCGCUGACGAGUGGCGGACGGGUGAGUAAUGUCUGGGAAACUGCCUGAUGGAGGGGGAUAACUACUGGAAACGGUGGCUAAUACCGCAUAACGUCGCAAGACCAAAGAGGGGGACCUUCGGGCCUCUUGCCAUCAGAUGUGCCCAGAUGGGAUUAGCUUGUUGGUGAGGUAACGGCUCACCAAGGCGACGAUCCCUAGCUGGUCUGAGAGGAUGACCAGCCACACUGGAACUGAGACACGGUCCAGACUCCUACGGGAGGCAGCAGUGGGGAAUAUUGCACGAAUGGGCGCAAGCCUGAUGCAGCCAUGCCGCGUGUAUG